CUCUCUCUCUCUCUCUCUCUCUCUCUCUCUCUCUGGAAGAUACAUACAUACUCGAGAAUGAUUUUUUUUUUCAAUUAAGGCAUGCUUGAUGUGAUACUGGGACUUUAAUUUUGAGCAUAGUGAUACACAUCUGGGCCGUGGACGUAAUGACAUGUGAGAGUAGGGUGAGGUGGUAAAUGAUGACUACCAUGAUUGAUGGUAGAACGAUUGCUCGCUUGUAUUUGCCAGACUUUCUGUCACAGCCGAGGUGUGGGAAGGUGCGGUUCGGCGAUCACGACGCUUUGAGGACGACUACUGGACAACGGAUAAUAUCCAUGAAAGUGUCGAUCCUCUCGUUAUUAACCUUGACUGUGACAGUGAUGAUGAUGGGGAUUUAGUGUUAAGUUGUGAAGAAGAUUAAAGUCUUGAAUAUU